GAUGAAGAACGCAGCGAAAUGCGAUAAGUAAUGUGAAUUGCAGAAUUCAGUGAAUCAUCGAAUCUUUGAACGCACAUUGCGCACUCUGGUAUUCCGGGGGGCAUGCCUGUUCGAGCGUCAUUAUAACCACUCAAGCUCUCGCUUGGUAUUGGAGUUCGCGAUCUCGCGGCUCCUAAAAUCAGUGGCGGUGCCUGUCGGCUCUACGCGUAGUAAUACUCCUCGCGAUUGAGUCCGGUAGGUUUACUUGCCAGCAACCCCCAAUUUUUACAGGUUGACCUCGGAUCAGGUAGGGAUACCCGCUGAACUUAAGCAUAUCAAUAAGCGGAGGA
rnacentral:misc_RNA from 1 species